UACGUAGGGUGCGAGCGUUAAUCGGAAUUACUGGGCGUAAAGCGUGCGCAGGCGGUAAUGUAAGACAGAUGUGAAAUCCCUGGGCUCAACCUGGGAACUGCAUUAGUGACUGCAUUGCUGGAGUGCGGCAGAGGGGGAUGGAAUUCCGCGUGUAGCAGUGAAAUGCGUAGGUAUGCGGAGGAACACCAAUGGCGAAGGCAAUCCCCUGGGCCUGCACUGACGCUCAUGCACGAAAGCGUGGGGUGCAAACAGG
rnacentral:rRNA from 1 species